UGGGUACCCAUUGUCCCAUUCUAGUUUAGCUAAAUGAACUACUACAGGGAGUAAAUUCUAUGGACCAGGAAAAGUGAGUUUUAGUUAAUUUAGUUGAGCUAGAAUGGGUCAAUGGGUACCU
rnacentral:pre_miRNA from 1 species